UUAUGACACGAUAAACAUCCACCAUUUGCAACUCAUCCAAUUCGAUGGUUAAGAAAUGAAUAGAAUGUCCUCACUGUCAAUGGUCACACUCCACGGACAUUUAAUACCAUCGGACACCAGAUAUCUAAGGAAUCUAUCACGUGUAUUAUGAUGGAAGCUAUGAUAAUGUUGAAAUGUGAAUCCCAACAGAAAUCUGCUGGACAAGAGGAAUGAGAAUAGGAUACGCGAUAUUUCCCAUACCUAUCAACCACAGUUACCACAGGGUCAUGGCGUUCGGAAAAUCAUACUCAAACACACAAAUAUAUUUCUUUCCAUUUAUAGAAAUACCUUGCGUUGUACUAUACAUCUGAUUUCCUUGGUCAUUAUACUCAAUUAGUAAAAGUCUUUUCCCU